rnacentral:lncRNA from 1 species
GGUCUCUUUUGGGGAGGCGUGGUUCUCACUCUGGCUGGUGUGGCUCAUGGCAGCUUGCUGAGCAUCCUGGUGGUUUGGCUAGUCACAGCUUGAUGGUGAGGUAAUUGGGAGAAGCUCUGUAGUGUGGGUUACAUGAAGCAUCUUCCCUAAGUGACCUGGGCACUGAAGUCCAGUGGGAAGACAAAAGUCGGGACAAGCAGAGCCUGGGAUGCAGUGGGUGACCUUGGUGUCUUCAAUGUCUUACCGAGCUCUAAGUACUCCAUAACACCAUAACUCCAGCCACCUUCAUAGCUGUUGGGACAAAUUGUUCUCAUCUACCCAUUCCCCCAGAAAAAGUCUUCCCAAGCUUGCAGUAGAUAUCCCCUGAGAUCACCAACAGGUUUAAAGUCUCUUGGCUUCCCUCAUCCUGGUUUAGUCCUUCUGCUGAAAUGGUUUUUAAUGGAGUGUAGCCACUGCACAUGUUACAGCUUCUUGGAACUACUUAUAGGACAUGCUGAUAAGCCAGAGAACUCUUGCAGGAUGAAAAGACUUCAUCACACAAUCCUGACAAUCAGAGGACGUCAUGCCCAACUCCCAGCACGGUCACUAGAGUUCCUGCUGUCAAUAGUUUCUGUGGAGUCUUUCUCCAUAUUGAAUUUCCUCAUGCAAAAUGCUUGGAAUUAAUGGCUUGUGUCAUGAUAUCACAGCAGAUGAAUUAUGAAUGUCUUCAGUUCCUCUUAGAUUAAAGGACUUCCCUCUUUGGAAACUAGAAACUGGUGGUGUUACCUGGGGAAUUACCUGAGAAUUGUUAUGAAAUUCUCAUUUUCUCAUUCAGACUUUUGUUUUCCUUUUAAAAGUGGGGAUGUUUGUCCUUUUGGUGAGCCAUCAAAACCAAUAAGAUUCAUCAUCUGGUGGCCAACUUUCAAAAAUGAACACUGACUGUGCUUCCUUUAUAGCUCCUUUUGGCCCCAAAGCACACGGGAGGUGCUUAAUAAAUCCUCUUUUUUUUUUUUUAAACUCA